GCGAGUCCACUUCACGUGGAGCCGGAGAGGACUCGGACGCGAGAUCUUCGGCUGCCCGUUUCUUGAACCCAGCAUCCUCAGGUCUUCCACUUGAACUCGUUCGAGGGAGGAGCAGCAGCAGCGAAGGCAGUAAGAAAGAAAUCCAAUUCCUCUACUCUCUUCUCCCUUGCUUGAUCUCUUAUUAAAACCCUGGAAACGGAAGAAAAUCUCAAGGUGAUAUCUCUGAGGCCGUUUAUUUCUGAUUCCUGGGCUGCUCGUUCCACUUCCAGUAGGCAAAUCAUCAGUUCCUCCCACUUCUUUUUCUUGUCUAGUUUACUUCGAUGUGGAGUGCGCUUUUGCUCGGAUCUUCUCUUGCUUUCUUCAUUUCAAACCUAAGCAUGGAGAAUUCUGUGUUGCACGGAUUGGGUUUGUAGUAACGUGCAUUUCUUGGCGCGUUGUCGUCGCUAAUGCCUAAAUGGGGUUUUAAAUUUUUCUUUUGGUAAAAAUCAUAACCGUAUCCUACGGGCAAUUCAAACAGGAUUAGCUGUGCAUAGUUUUGCUGCUGAUUUCUUAUGAGUUUCCCAUUGCGCGGGGUUAAUAAUUUUGGGAGGUUUAUCGACUUCGGACGGUUGAAAAAGUAAACUUUGCAUAACUUUGGGUUACUCUUCCCUUGUUAAAAUGAAGAGAUUAUGCUAAUUUUUUGGUUCCUCUAGAAUUGGUAUGGUGAUGCGAUGCCUGUGAAUAAUAACAUGCAUUUUAUGUCCAAGCCCUUGUACUAUUUAUUUGCAGUUUUACGAGCAAGUAUUUAUUUUUUAAUUUUUGCUGCGACACGAUUCUACGUUUUUUUCUUUGCAUCCCAUUUUCCAAUCAAAGCCUAGACUUAUUGAUCAUUGUGAGUGACUUUAUUUAUUUAUUUUGUAGGCAUACACCCUUGCAAAUAAUACAUGUUAUUGGCAAUUUCAUGAGAAUCUGGUUUGUUUACUUCAUGUACCCACUAUCUAUCCCAUCAAGGAGACUCGGUGAUAGCUUUUAUUUUCAGUUGUUUGGUACCAGUUUCUAUCAUCUUCCUGGUUCAGCAAAAGCCUUGGAAAGGGAGAAUUCACAGGUUAUCUAUGAUUCCUUAAUUUGGUUCUUGUGCAAAUGGAUUAUAUGCCAUCUGUUGAGAUUUGAAGCCCAUGUGGCAGCCCAGCAGCAGGCCUGGCCCAGACCAACGCACGAGUGCAGCCCAAUGCGGGCGUGCAUGGACGUACGUGGGCCAGCCCAGCAGAUGCGCAGGCAUGGCGUACCGCAGCUCACCACAUUAUUGCGGUUCAUAGGAGGGCCUAUGGACCGACUGCCCAUUUUUCUGUCAUUUCUCCCAGUCCAUGGUGGACCGAUGGCAUGAUCGGAUGGCUUAUCUUCCUCCCGGUGAAAAUCCAAUGGUUGAUGACGAAUCCGGCUGUUUUCAGGACUGUUUCAGGUGUUUUUGACGCCCGUUUUCACCCGUUCAAUGGAGAUCUGACAACAGGCUUCAAGGUUUCAAUGCAACAAUAAAACGGAGUUCUGUUUUGAUGUGAUUUGGUCUGGUUUUGAGCUCUAUUUAAAGGAGCCUCGGCAGAAGUUUAGUAGUACGCUGAGAGUAGAAAAUAGAGAGCACCAAGAGAUUUUUACAGUGAGGUAUAGAGAGGUGUGAGAUUUCUUUUGAGAGAAAAGAGCGUGCUUUUCCCUUGUAUAAGAGAGUCUAAGUGAUUUCUUGUACUUCUAUCAAUUUUGUACUUCUUAUGCCAUGGAAUUUAAUAGAAGAAUGUCAAAGAGAUCUUGUCCGUGGAUGUAGACCAACAAUUAGGCCGAACCACGUUAUAUCUGGUGUGCUUUCAUUUUUUCUUAUUUUAUUGCUUGAUUAUCUCUCUUUUAUUUUGCAUUCUACGUUUGUUCAAGUUAUCUUUCCUCUACAAAAUGAUCUGUAUUUUUACUGUGCUUGUGUGCCGUGUGGGUUGAGGUGUGCUCGGUUACCUUUUGGUCGGUCCUUUCAGUUUGGUAUCAUAGCUAAGAAAAUUCUUUUGUAGUUGGUUUGAUUUGAAACAAUGGCGGACAAAGUGACGACAAUAAAAUAUGAGAUACCGAGGUUUGAUGGAUCAAACUUUGCACUUUGGAAGAUGAAGAUGUAGACGGUAUUGAUCAAAGAUGGUUGUGAAGUUGCUUUGCAAGAAAAAGAACGCAAACCAUAAGAGAUGACGGAUGGGCAAUUUGAGGAGAAAGAUAAGCUGGCAAUGGCGAAGCUCUAUUUGGCGUUGGAUGAUUCGGUAUUGUUUAAUAUCGAGGUAAAGACUUCUGCAAAAGGGGUUUGGAAAAAGUUGAAGAACCUCUAUGAAGGAGAGUCUUUGGUGAAUAAAAUCUAUUUGAGACAGCAAUUAUACGAUCUAAAGAUGAAGGACGGGGCAUUAGUUCAAGAGCAUUUGGAUGCAUUCGGGCAAACUUGUGGUCCUAGAUGUCAGAAUUCAAGAUGAAAAGAAGGCUAGCAUUCUACUUUGUUCUAUAUCGGAGUCUUGGGAUAAUCUCAUUAUGAACUUGAGUCACGUUAAAACCCUCAAGAUGGAGUCAGUUGUUGCAUCAUUGCUUAUAGAGGAGAUAAGACGAAAAUCUAGCCAAGGAAGCUCUUCGAAGGAGGCCAUGGUAGCAUGGAAAAGGUCUCUUGAGAGGGAAUAUGGUAAUCAAGGGAAGAUGAGAUCUAAAUCUAAUGGCAAGAAGAAGAUAAAAUGUUGGAAUUAUGAAAAAUUAAGGCAUAUAAAGAAAGAUUGCCAGGCUAGAGGAGUUGAUACAAAAUCUGAAUCGGAAAACUUUUAAGGCAAUGUAGUAGAAAGUGAAAUUGGUUCGGCUACUUCGGAUGACGGAGAUGCAUUGACGGCAUUGGAGAUAUCCGAGCUUGCAUGUCAUUGGAUUUUGGAUUCGGAGGCAUCUUUUCAUAUGACUCCUUUUAGGGAGUGGUUUCAUACAUACAAACCAUGGGAUGGUGGAGUUAUCU
rnacentral:lncRNA from 1 species